CCUACGGGAGGCAGCAGUGGGGGAUAUUGGACAAUGGGGGGAACCCUGAUCCAGCGACGCCGCGUGAGUGAAGAAGUAUUUCGGUAUGUAAAGCUCUGUCAGCAGGGAAGAAAGAAAUGACGGUACCUGACCAAGAAGCCCCGGCUAACUACGUGCCAGCAGCCGCGGUACUACGUAGGGGGCAAGCGUUAUCCGGAAUUACUGGGGGGAAAGGGUGCGUAGACGGUUAAGUAAGUCUGGAGUGAAAGGCCGGGGCGCAACCCCGGGACUGCUCUGGAAACUAUUGAACUUGAGUUCAGGAGAGGUAAGCGGAAUUCCUAGUGUAGCGGUGAAAUGCGUAGAUAUUAGGAGGAACACCAGUGGCGAAGGCGGCUUACUGGACUGUAACUGACGUUGAGGCUCGAAAGCGUGGGGAGCAAACAGGAUUAGAUACCCCGGUAGUC
rnacentral:rRNA from 1 species